CUGAGUGAAGGUGAGCUGGACAGCGGUUGAAGCCAGGGCCGAGUAGGGAAGGGCCGGUGGCCGGAAGGCGGGUAGUGAUUCGCCGCCAGUCCGUCUCUCACGAUCCCGCCCGCCGUCUGCCAACCACCCCGCUGACCCGACUGCCGGAGGGGGCUCUGGCGAAGGCGCGGUCUCUCCCGCUCCAGCUCUUGGAAGAAUUGGAACAGCAAUGGCAGUGGCAGGCAUUCUGCAGGCUGCACGAGCCACCAGAGGCGCCCUUCGUGUUGUCAUCCGUGGAGCUGUGACCCAGGGAUGUCAUCCCCAUAGAAUGCAGUAUGGGAGGGAUGAAGGGCAUCUCCUAAACGUGGGUUUGCAGGGAGCACCCCAGGGGGAGCCCCAGCCACAGGCCAUGUGGCCACAUCACCACCAGGUGGCAGUGGAGUCACUUCCAAAGCUCCCAGGACAUCACAGGGCCCAGCUGGGUUACAAGAUGUCAAUAAAAGGAGUAGAGACUCCUGAGCUGUGGACCUACGACCCCAUUGGGAGGCUCCUCCACAAGGCCACAGAGUCUUCUGCAUCUGGGAGAAACAGCUGCCAACUCCUGCACAUUCCUUGUGCUCCAAGAGGCACAGCAUCCUGGCUUCUUAGAGAGUGUGUGGGGGUUUGUGAGGGAGGCCUUGCUGGCUCUUUCCUGGGACCAUCACUCCUUUCGUGCCCACCUGAGUGUUUAAAGCUCGUCUCCUCCCCCCGCCCCUCAUAUAUCCUGCCGGAUCCCUGCUUUCCUGACAGGCCAGUAUGGACACGAGGGAUGGCAGGCAGCCCCAAGCAUCCUCUGUGAGGCACUCGCCAUCUCCAGGGUCCCAGGAAUGUCUCCGCCCACGCCACCCUCACGUGACCGGGCCUGUGGAUGUGGCCGUGCUCUGGACCUCCUCAGCCCCUGCCCUCCCUGUGCUCCUCCGCAGAAGAGCCCCUGCAGGGCUUCCAGGGCUAGAGCUUCCCCUGGGGAUCUUCGUGCCCGGCCCUUGAGGUCCAGCUGGACAUGGUGCCAACCAACCAAAAGAUAACGUGCCCCAGACUCUCUUGCAGCAAGAAGAGGCCACAUCACUAAGAGACGGUCCUUUCACAUCACUUCAGAAAUGACAACUUUCAGGGCCAACUUUUGAGGGGUUCUUAGGCACCGCACCUUGGAAUUUAUGGAACUUCCCCCAGUGUAAGCUCUGGCCACCAUUCCUGAGCUCGCGGUCAGUCAAGGACAUGGGCUUGAGAGGGCUGUGGAGACCGUCUACAUAACAUACACAAAUGAAUAUUCAAGCCUCUGUAUGAACCAGUAAGAAUCCGGCAGGCAGGUGCCGAGACGCACUCGCUCUCGGCCACGUGUAAUUUCCCCUGCUUAAUAACCCUGACACCCACCCAUCGGGGGGGGGGGGUCUGCCUUUCUCUUCAGUUCUUCCUGCUCUGGGUGCCCGAGGCCAGUUUGCAAACCAAGACUCCCCCAGGAUUUUGAGGUAUACGUUUCUUGCCUUCGUUUGUAGGUUUACAAUGUACAGGUGCUUCCUUCAACGGUGUAGUUCC